rnacentral:rRNA from 1 species
GAUGAACGCUGGCGGCGUGCCUAAUACAUGCAAGUCGAGCGAAUGGAUUAAGAGCUUGCUCUUAUGAAGUUAGCGGCGGACGGGUGAGUAACACGUGGGUAACCUGCCCAUAAGACUGGGAUAACUCCGGGAAACCGGGGCUAAUACCGGAUAACAUUUUGAACCGCAUGGUUCGAAAUUGAAAGGCGGCUUCGGCUGUCACUUAUGGAUGGACCCGCGUCGCAUUAGCUAGUUGGUGAGGUAACGGCUCACCAAGGCAACGAUGCGUAGCCGACCUGGGAGGGUGCACGGCCAAACUGGGACUGAGACACGGCCCAGACUCCUACGGGAGGCAGCAGUAGGGAAUCUUCCGCAAUGGACGAAAGUCUGACGGGGCAACGCCGCGUGAGUGAUGAAGGCUUUCGGGUCGUAAAACUCUGUUGUUAGGGAAGAACAAGUGCUAGUUGAAUAAGCUGGCACCUUGACGGUACCUAACCAGAAAGCCACGGCUAACUACGUGCCAGCAGCCGCCGUAA